UACAGAGGUCUCAAGCGUUGUUCGGAAUCACUGGGCGUAAAGGGUGCGUAGGUGGCGGGGUAAGUCAGAUGUGAAAGCCCGGGGCUCAACCUCGGAACUGCAUCCGAUACUACCUUGCUAGAGUGCGGAAGGGGCAACUGGAAUUCUCGGUGUAGCGGUGAAAUGCGUAGAUAUCGAGAGGAACACCUGCGGCGAAGGCGGGUUGCUGGGCCGACACUGACGCUGGUGCGCGAAAGCCAGGGGAGCGAACGGG
rnacentral:rRNA from 1 species